GACGAACGCUGGCGGCGUGCUUAACACAUGCAAGUCGAACGGAAAGGCCUGCUUUCCCUUGUGGAUUGCGGGUACUCGAGUGGCGAACGGGUGAGUAACACGUGAGUGAUCUGCCCCCAACUUGGGUAUAAGCCUGGGAAACUGGGUCUAAUUCCCGAUAGGACUGCAGGGUGGUGCCUGUGGUGGAAAACGAUUUUCUAGUGGUUGGGGAUGAGCUCGCGGCCUAUCAGCUUGUUGGUGGGGUAAUGGCAUACCAAGGCGGCGACGGGUAGCCGGCCUGAGAGGGUGGACGGCCACAUUGGGACUGAGAUACGGCCCAGACUCCUACGGGAGGCAGCAGUGGGGAAUAUUGCACAAUGGGCGGAAGCCUGAUGCAGCGACGCCGCGUGGGGGAUGACGGCCUUCGGGUUGUAAACUCCUUUCGACCGCGAGGAAGCCACCUGGUUGGAAGGGUGGUGACGGUAGUGGUAGAAGAAGCACCGGCUAACUACGUG
rnacentral:rRNA from 1 species